UCAAACUUGGUCAUUUAGAGGAAGUAAAAGUCGUAACAAGGUUUCCGUAGGUGAACCUGCGGAAGGAUCAUUAUUGAAUUUACUUGUGAGCGCUGUGCUGGCCAGCAAUGGCACUGUGCACGCGUUUGCAUUUAAACAUUUUUUCUUCUUGUGAACCUUAUGUAGUCGUUGCGGAGGGCUUCAUUGCCCUGAGGAAGCUAGUCAGUAGUUUUGUGAAAGCAGAGCGAAAGCUAGUGGAGCCAACUGACUAUGAUUUAUAUACCUAUCUUUAAAACCUAGAAUGUUUUCUUACUCGACCGUAACAAGUCAGUAAAAUCUAUACAACUUUCAGCAACGGAUCUCUUGGCUCUCCCAUCGAUGAAGAACGCAGC
rnacentral:misc_RNA from 1 species